UACGUAGGGGGCAAGCGUUGUCCGGAAUCAUUGGGCGUAAAGAGCGUGUAGGCGGCCCGGUAAGUCCGCUGUGAAAGUCAAAGGCUCAACCUUUGAAAGCCGGUGGAUACUGGAUGGCUAGAGUACGGAAGAGGCGAGUGGAAUUCCUGGUGUAGCGGUGGAAUGCGCAGAUAUCAGGAGGAACACCAAUAGCGAAGGCAGCUCGCUGGGACGUUACUGACACUGAGGCGCGAAAGCGUGGGGAGCGAACAGG
rnacentral:rRNA from 1 species